rnacentral:rRNA from 1 species
UACGUAGGCAGCAAGCGUUGUUCGGAGUUACUGGGCGUAAAGGGUGCGUAGGCGGCUUUUUAAGUUUGGUGUGAAAUCUCCCGGCUCAACUGGGAGGGUGCGCCGAAUACUGAGAGGCUAGAGUGUGGGAGAGGAAAGUGGAAUUCCUGGUGUAGCGGUGAAAUGCGUAGAUAUCAGGAGGAACACCGGUGGUGUAAACGGCUUUCUGGACCAUAACUGACGCUGAUGCACGAAAGCUAGGGGAGCAAACAGG